rnacentral:lncRNA from 1 species
GACACCAUCUUUCAGAUGAAAUAAUAGGUGCAUUAAAUAUUUAGCAAGGAAAGUUGCUGAUUUAGGGUUCUACUCAAAUCCCACUUUGAAUGUGAAGGUUUCAUUCUCAUCAGUUCCACUGACUGAAUGCCACUCACUACUGGAUAACGUAAGCCACUUCUAACAGUGACAGCACUGCCGAGCUAGCAAUCCAGCACUCUGGAGCAGCAGCACUGCACAGGCCAGGUCGGUCUGUCACACUUUCAUAGAUUCAAAGGUACUGCUGAGAACCCAAGACCCCGAACUACUGAGAGGAGCUUUGAGGAAGCCCAAUGUAGGGUACCUGCAUGAGGAGCUCAUGAACAGUCAUUCCCUGAGCGGACGUCCGCUUCAGCAGUGGAAUGGCCGGGGUGCCUCACUCCUGCCCACUGUGUCCAUAGGAAUAUGAGGAAAAGCAAGGUGGGGAAUAUGCUCAGCAACAGAGCCGACCCCUUCAAAGGGUUAAAAUGAGGCUGUAAGAACUUCCCGU